UGAGGCAGGAGAAUUGCUUGAACCCAGGAGGUGGAGGCUGCAGUGAGCCAAGAUCGUGCCACUGUACUCCAGCCUGGGUGACAGAGUGAGACUCCAUCU
ensembl:miRNA